UGGGGAAUAUUGGACAAUGGGCGCAAGCCUGAUCCAGCCAUGCCGCGUGAGUGAUGAAGGCCUUAGGGUUGUAAAGCUCUUUCAACGGUGAAGAUAAUGACGGUAACCGUAGAAGAAGCCCCGGCUAACUUCGUGCCAGCAGCCGCGGUAAUACGAAGGGGGCUAGCGUUGUUCGGAAUUACUGGGCGUAAAGCGCACGUAGGCGGACAUUUAAGUCAGGGGUGAAAUCCCGGAGCUCAACUCCGGAACUGCCUUUGAUACUGGGUGUCUUGAGUAUGGAAGAGGUUAGUGGAAUUGCGAGUGUAGAGGUGAAAUUCGUAGAUAUUCGCAGGAACACCAGUGGCGAAGGCGGCUAACUGGUCCAUAACUGACGCUGAGGUGCGAAAGCGUGGGGAGCAAACAGGAUUAGAUACC
rnacentral:rRNA from 1 species